rnacentral:rRNA from 1 species
GAUGAACGCUGGCGGCGUGCCUAACACAUGCAAGUCGAACGGUGAACGAGGGAGCUUGCUCCCUCCGGAUCAGUGGCGAACGGGUGAGUAACACGUGAGCAAUCUGCCCCGAACUCUGGGAUAAGCGCUGGAAACGGCGUCUAAUACCGGAUACGACGCGCGAAGGCAUAUUCUGCGCGUGGAAAGAAUUUCGGUUCGGGAUGAGCUCGCGGCCUAUCAGCUAGUUGGUGAGGUAACGGCUCACCAAGGCGACGGCGGGUAGCCGGCCUGAGAGGGUGACCGGCCACACUGGGACUGAGACACGGCCCAGACUCCUACGGGAGGCAGCAGUGGGGAAUAUUGCACAAUGGGCGCAAGCCUGAUGCAGCAACGCCGCGUGAGGGACGACGGCCUUCAGGUUGUAAACCUCUUUUAGUAGGGAAGAAGCGAAAGUGACGGUACCUGCAGAAAAAGCACCGGCUAACUACGUGCCAGCAGCCGCGGUAACAC